rnacentral:rRNA from 1 species
GUGGGGAAUAUUGCACAAUGGGCGCAAGCCUGAUGCAGCGACGCCGCGUGGGGGAUGACGGCCUUCGGGUUGUAAACCUCUUUCAAUAGGGACGAAGCGUAAGUGACGGUACCUAUAGAAGAAGCACCGGCCAACUACGUGCCAGCAGCCGCGGUAAUACGUAGGGUGCGAGCGUUGUCCGGAAUUACUGGGCGUAAAGGGCUUGUAGGUGGUUUGUCGCGUUGUUCGUGAAAACCGGAGGCUUAACUUUCGGCGUGCGGGCGAUACGGGCAGACUGGAGUACUGCAGGGGAGACUGGAAUUCCUGGUGUAGCGGUGGAAUGCGCAGAUAUCAGGAGGAACACCGGUGGCGAAGGCGGGUCUCUGGGCAGUAACUGACGCUGAGGAGCGAAAGCGUGGGGAGCGAACAGGAUUAGAUACCCCUGUAGUCC